rnacentral:rRNA from 1 species
GACGAACGCUGGCGGCGUGCUUAACACAUGCAAGUCGAACGGAAAGGCCCUGCUUGCAGGGUGCUCGAGUGGCGAACGGGUGAGUAACACGUGGGUGAUCUGCCCCUUACUUUGGGAUAAGCCUGGGAAACUGGGUCUAAUACUGGAUAGGACCAUGCUGUAGGUGGUGUGGUGGAAAGAUUAGUUUCGGUAAGGGAUGAGCUCGCGGCCUAUCAGCUUGUUGGUGGGGUAAUGGCCUACCAAGGCGUCGACGGGUAGCCGGCCUGAGAGGGUGGACGGCCACAUUGGGACUGAGAUACGGCCCAGACUCCUACGGGAGGCAGCAGUGGGGAAUAUUGCUCAAUGGGCGCAAGCCUGAUGCAGCGACGCCGCGUGGGGGAUGACGGCCUUCGGGUUGUAAACUCCUUUCAGCCAUGACGAAGCCCUUGUGGUGACGGUAGUGGUAGAAGAAGCACCGGCUAACUACGUG